GCAGGCAGCCAAUGAAUUAGCGUUGCUUGAUCGGGGAAGACUUCGCGGACUCCUUGCUCUUCCAAAAGCCCUCUUUAAUUAGCCGAGGGAGAAAGAGAGAGUUUUGAUCGCGAGGAUGUUCGAGCUCUUCGUGCUGGGCUGCACCGGCGUGGUGAUCUUCCUCCACGGAGCCAAUUUCUUCUUCCGCGCCCUCUCGCGCCGCCUCACCCCUCGAUCUCUCAGCUUCUUAGGAGUCGCUGAAUGGUAAUUUCGACGAGCUCGCACAAGAAGAUUGUAAGUUCUAUACUGAAUAAUUUCGAGAUUCAAUUGAUGACUCCAAGUGUGUAAUCUGUACAGUAUGUAGCUCUGAUCAUUCCAAUUUUAUGCGUGUUUUUUUUCC